ensembl:lncRNA
CCAUUUAUUUCUAUUAUCAUAUUUCUGUUUUGCUAGGCUUGGAUUGUCUUUGGAAAAGUGAUUAGAUGUAAUCAAGCAUCUAGACUCUUGUCUCUGAUUGAUCUUUGUUGUCUGGCUCCUGAUACAGUCAAAAACUCCCUAAAAGCCUAGAAGCCUCUGGAAUCUGUCCAAAAGAAGUUUUAGAGCCCAGUGUAUCUGGGAAAUAUACGCUCUGUCAUUUUCAUGAAAUAUUUACUGAUAUGCUCUCCUCUCUGAAUGAGCCCUGACAGAUAGAAACAGUACAGUAUCAUACCAUUUCCAUUUCUAGAUAUUUUUUUAAAAGAUUCUGGUGGUGACCCUCAUGAACCUGUGGUAACAGCUGAUCUUAGACCCCAUCACUGGUGUAUCUGAGACCUCCAGAGCACCCACUAUGUUGGAAGAUAACAUACGCAAUCAAAUCAGGUAGUUCAGAACAGUGGGUUUCCUAUAUAUAUGGUAAAAGCGGAAAAAAUAGUCAUUAUAUGUUUAUAUUGAUAUCUUAAGUUCACAUGUUCUUAUCCUUGACAGCCCUAAAAAACAGUUUGUAAAACCUUUUUCUUUCUUUCUUUUGCUUGUUUUAUGCAUAAAUGUAUCAGGGUAAAUAGAUAAUAUAUUUUUUUCUAAAGAAGUACACUUGUGAAGGUGCUCGUACCAAAACAUGUAUCAGUGUUGCAAAAGAUCAGUGUUUAGAUCCAAAAACACCUUUUCUUCUCUUGAAAGAAUGUCACUGCAUGACACCUUGUUCAGUGCCAGUGCUUCACACCCCGACUGCAUCUCUCACCCACACAAGAUUUCAUAAGCACAAAUGAGUAAUUUCUGGAGGCAGGAAAGAACAUGUCUCUCUCUUCAAAGGAUUAACUGUGUACAUAUGAAAAGCCAGCUCUAAUACAUGAAUGUUUUGAAUACUUAGUGCCAAACUGGAACAAAAUCGUCCUUGAGGUCAUAUGUUCUAAGCAUUUGUCUAGUAGACACAAGAUUGUCAAAAAUAGUUUAACUGGGAAGAGCUGUGCACCAUAUUGAGAUAUUGAUCUUUUUGGAGGGAAAUGUGUUUACAAGACCUUUUGCUGAAUAUGUCUGGCAUGAGGAUGGGGAGUGAAAUGUCUUUGAGUUCCAGCGAACUGGAAAAUAACUGACUCUCUGUUAAAACUGAAUGAUAAACUUGUCUAUUCAUGGUGAAGUCGUACACCAACUGUUCCUCCCACAUGCAGAGACAGUGAGAGAGUGUAAAAUACAGAGAAACAGGAAGCUUCGUUCAUACGGCUAGGAUAAAGUCUCAAGUUUCACACAGCUCUGGUGCUUAUGUGUGUGUGUGUGUGUGUGUGUGUGUGUGUGUGUGUGUGUGUGUGUGGGGGAAGGCCAAAUAAAGAACAGUUUAGCACUGCCUGAUGGGCCAUGAAUAUCAUAAAUUAUUGAUUCACAAAUAUCACAUUUUUGUGGAGUUGCACAACAUGAUAUUUUUCAAACUGAACUAACCCUGCCGUGUUAUAGCAAGGUCAUAUUAUCUGAUGAUUAUCUGAUGAUUUGAAGAGACAGUUAUUAUAUCAGGAUAGUUGUAUUACCCUGAUAGUGUUAUUUUCAAAUACAUUUAUACUAUUAUAUUUU